CAUAUAUCUAUAUACAGAGCCGUUACCUGACUACUAAUUGUUUAGGUUAUUACACACACACACAUAUAUCUAUAUACAGAGCCGUUACCUGACUACUAAUUGUUUAGGUUAUUACACACACACAUAUAUCUAUAUACAGAGCCGUUACCUGACUACUAAUUGUUUAGGUUAUUACACACACACAUAUCUAUAUACAGAGCCGUUACCUGACUACUAAUUGUUUAGGUUAUUACACACACACAUAUAUCUAUAUACAGAGCCGUUACCUGACUACUAAUUGUUUAGGUUAUUACACACACACAUAUCUAUAUACAGAGCCGUUACCUGACUACUAAUUGUUUAGGUUAUUACACACACAUAUAUAUCUAUAUACAGAGCCGUUACCUGACUACUAAUUGUUUAGGUUAUUACACACACAUAUAUCUAUAUACAGAGCCGUUACCUGACUACUAAUUGUUUAGGUUAUUACACACACAUAUAUCUAUAUAUAGAGCCGUUACCUGACUACUAAUUGUUUAGGUUAUUACACACACACACAUAUCUAUAUACAGAGCCGUUACCUGACUACUAAUUGUUGUGUACACCCCAACAGAUUUACUUACCUUUCAGAAAUAACAUUUUCUAUGGGACACUAUACUACAAAAUACUUCCACAAAUGCAGGCCAUCAAUUGCAACCAAGAUUUGUUAUUUUGCACCCACAACAAAGUAUUUUUCCUAACAAAUUAAUUCAAGACCAUGUUGCAAAAAUGUAUACACCCCAAUAAAAGUCAUAGGAGCAAAGCUAAAUGUCUGCCAAUAAAUUCCUAAUUAACAAGAAUUCAUUUACAGGUGAGUCUAAUUAUUCGUUAAUCAGGUGUCCAGUAGACAAUUGAUUACAAAAGGGUGUUCCUUACCAAAGAAAACCGCUUUCUAAUGUCAUGAUGUCAGCAAUGGCACCACAUGGAAGAGAAAGGUCACAAGGCCGGAGAAAGAAAAUCAUUUCUUUACACAAGAGAGGUGAAGGCCACAAGAAGAUCAGCAAAGCUUAGCUUAUCAGUCACUGUAGCAAAAGUGAUACAAAAAUGUAACAAAGAUGGAACUGCAACCAUCUCACAGAGACGUUCAUGGAAGUUAAUAGCUUCACAGGAGCGUCUUCUGAUGAAAAUCGCCAUACAAGUUCACUGCAGUUAGCCAAGCAGUAGAAAGCCAAGCUGGGGUGAUUGUUUCCCGUGAUACAAUACGGCGCACACUGCAGAGAAAUGGCAUGCAUGGGUGUCAUCCACGAAGGAAGCCUCUCCUAAAGCCCAUGCACAAAAAAGCAGGCGUAGAAUUUGCCAGGACACAUGCUGAAAAAGACGAAGACUACUGGGAUUCUGAACUCUAGAGAGAUGAGACCAAAAUAAAUGUUUUUGGAACUAAUGUCCUCAAAACUGUAUGGCAUUGCAAAGGUGAGGAGUACAAUGAAAAAUGCAUGGUGCCUACAGUGAGACAUGGUGGUGGCAGUGUCCUUCUGUGGGGCUGCACGAGUGCUGCUGGUGUGGAGCUGCAUUUCAUUGAUGUAUUAUAAAUUCACAGAUGUAUGCUCUGUAUUGAAAGAGAAGAUGCUACCAUCACUCCGUGCCCUUGGUUGUUGUGCAGUUUACCAACAUGACAAUGAUCCAAAACAAACAUCUAAGGCCACUGUUGCAUUUCUUAAGAAGAACAGGGUGAAAGUGAUGCAGUGGCCAAGUCUCCUGGUCUGAACCCAAUCAAACACCUACGGGGAAUUCUGAAGAGACAAGCAGAGCAUCACUCUCCAUCCAAGGUCUAAAGGAGGUCUUUCUUGAAAAAGAAAAAAUGGAAAAAGAUAAAUCUUGCAAUAUGUCGCCAACUUGUUCAUUCCAUGCCUAUUAGAAUUGGUGCUGCCCUUACAAAUCAUGGAGGUCAUACAAAAUACUAGAUGUAGUAGUUUUUGUUGUGGGUGUAUUCAUUUGUUCAUCACCUACUUUGAGUAAACCUGAAGAUUUUAUAAUCUAAAUUAUAAUAUUAACCUUACUUUCAUGUAAUGAGCUAAACAAAUUCUAGAAAUUGUUCCUGUAUUCAUUGAGAUAUUGAUUAAAAUCGUACUUUUCAGAA